AGCACUGUUUCGGCAAGGGGGUCAUCCCGACUUACCAACCCGAUGCAAACUGCGAAUACCGGAGAAUGUUAUCACGGGAGACACACGGCGGGUGCUAACGUCCGUCGUGAAGAGGGAAACAACCCAGACCGCCAGCUAAGGUCCCAAAGUCAUGGUUAAGUGGGAAACGAUGUGGGAAGGCCCAGACAGCCAGGAUGUUGGCUUAGAAGCAGCCAUCAUUUAAAGAAAGCGUAAUAGCUCACUGGUCGAGUCGGCCUGCGCGGAAGAUGUAACGGGGCUAAACCAUGCACCGAAGCUGCGGCAGCGACGCUGAUGCGUUGUUGGGUAGGGGAGCGUUCUGUAAGCCUGUGAAGGUGUGCUGUGAGGCAUGCUGGAGGUAUCAGAAGUGCGAAUGCUGACAUAAGUAACGAUAAAGCGGGUGAAAAGCCCGCUCGCCGGAAGACCAAGGGUUCCUGUCCAACGUUAAUCGGGGCAGGGUGAGUCGACCCCUAAGGCGAGGCCGAAAGGCGUAGUCGAUGGGAAACAGGUUAAUAUUCCUGUACUUGGUGUUACUG
rnacentral:rRNA from 1 species